rnacentral:rRNA from 1 species
UACGUAGGGUGCAAGCGUUGUCCGGAAUUAUUGGGCGUAAAGAGCUCGUAGGCGGUCUGUCGCGUCGGCUGUGAAAUCCCGAGGCUCAACCUCGGGUCUGCAGUCGAUACGGGCAAACUGGAGUGUUGCAGGGGAGACUGGAAUUCCUGGUGUAGCGGUGAAAUGCGUAGAUAUCGAGAGGAACACCUGCGGCGAAGGCGGGUUGCUGGGCCGACACUGACGCUGAGGCGCGAAAGCUAGGGGAGCGAACGGG